CAUAUUGUGAGCUCGAUGAGUAGGGCGGGACACGUGGUAUCCUGUCUGAAUAUGGGGGGACCAUCCUCCAAGGCUAAAUACUCCUGACUGACCGAUAGUGAACCAGUACCGUGAGGGAAAGGCGAAAAGAACCCCGGCGAGGGGAGUGAAAAAGAACCUGAAACCGUGUACGUACAAGCAGUGGGAGCACGCUUAGGCGUGUGACUGCGUACCUUUUGUAUAAUGGGUCAGCGACUUAUAUUCUGUAGCAAGGUUAACCGAAUAGGGGAGCCGAAGGGAAACCGAGUCUUAACUGGGCGUUAAGUUGCAGGGUAUAGACCCGAAACCCGGUGAUCUAGCCAUGGGCAGGUUGAAGGUUGGGUAACACUAACUGGAGGACCGAACCGACUAAUGUUGAAAAAUUAGCGGAUGACUUGUGGCUGGGGGUGAAAGGCCAAUCAAACCGGGAGAUAGCUGGUUCUCCCCGAAAGCUAUUUAGGUAGCGCCUCGUGAAUUCAUCUCCGGGGGUAGAGCACUGUUUCGGCAAGGGGGUCAUCCCGACUUACCAACCCGAUGCAAACUGCGAAUACCGGAGAAUGUUAUCACGGGAGACACACGGCGGGUGCUAACGUCCGUCGUGAAGAGGGAAACAACCCAGACCGCCAGCUAAGGUCCCAAAGUCAUGGUUAAGUGGGAAACGAUGUGGGAAGGCCCAGACAGCCAGGAUGUUGGCUUAGAAGCAGCCAUCAUUUAAAGAAAGCGUAAUAGCUCACUGGUCGAGUCGGCCUGCGCGGAAGAUGUAACGGGGCUAAACCAUGCACCGAAGCUGCGGCAGCGACGCUGAUGCGUUGUUGGGUAGGGGAGCGUUCUGUAAGCCUGUGAAGGUGUGCUGUGAGGUAUGCUGGAGGUAUCAGAAGUGCGAAUGCUGACAUAAGUAACGAUAAAGCGGGUGAAAAGCCCGCUCGCCGGAAGACCAAGGGUUCCUGUCCAACGUUAAUCGGGGCAGGGUGAGUCGACCCCUAAGGCGAGGCCGAAAGGCGUAGUCGAUGGGAAACAGGUUAAUAUUCCUGUACUUGGUGUUACUGCGAAGGGGGGACGGAGAAGGCUAUGUUGGCCGGGCGACGGUUGUCCCGGUU
rnacentral:rRNA from 1 species